AGAAUCAACGCUGGCGGCGUGCCUAACACAUGCAAGUCGAACGAGAAAGUGGAGCAAUCCACGGGUAAAGUGGCGCACGGGUGAGUAACACGUGACUAACCUACCCUUGAGUGGGGAAUAACUGAGGGAAACCUUAGCUAAUACCGCAUAACACCUACGGGUCAAAGGAGCAAUUCGCUUAAGGAGGGGUCGCGGCAGAUUAGUUAGUUGGCGGGGUAAUGGCCCACCAAGACUGUGAUCGGUAU
rnacentral:rRNA from 1 species